rnacentral:rRNA from 1 species
UACGUAGGGGGCAAGCGUUGUCCGGACUUACUGGGCGUAAAGAGCGUGUAGGCGGCCAAGCAGGUCCGUUGUGAAAACUGGAGGCUUAACCUCCAGACGUCGACGGAAACCGCGUGGCUAGAGUCCGGAAGAGGAGAGUGGAAUUCCUGGUGUAGCGGUGAAAUGCGCAGAUAUCAGGAAGAACACCAAUGGCGAAGGCAGCUCUCUGGGACGGUACUGACGCUGAGACGCGAAAGCUAGGGGAGCAAACGGG